UACGAAGGGUGCAAACGUUGCUCGGAAUUAUUGGGCGUAAAGCGCACGUAGGCGGCAUCGCAAGUCGGAUGUGAAAUCUUAUGGCUUAACCAUAAAAGUGCAUCCGAAACUGCAGUGCUUGAGUACUUAAGAGGAUCGCGGAAUUCCCGGUGUAGAGGUGAAAUUCGUAGAUAUCGGGAGGAACACCAGUGGCGAAGGCGGCGAUCUGGGAAGAUACUGACGCUGAGGUGCGAAAGCGUGGGGAGCAAACAGG
rnacentral:rRNA from 3 species